AGUGAACGCUGGCGGCGUGCUUAACACAUGCAAGUCGAACGGUAGCAGAUAGAAGCUUGCUUCUAUGCUGACGAGUGGCGCACGGGUGAGUAAUGUGUAGCUAACGUGCCCCUUAGAGGGGGAUAACAGUUGGAAACGGCUGCUAAUACCCCAUACUCCUUCUAUCUUAAUGAUAGUUGGGAAAUGUUUUUUCGCUAAGGGAUCGGGCUAUAUGGUAUCAGCUAGUUGGUGAGGUAAUGGCUCACCAAGGCAAUGACACCUAGCUGGUCUGAGAGGAUGAUCAGCCACACUGGAACUGAGACACGGUCCAGACUCCUACGGGAGGCAGCAGUGGGGAAUAUUGCACAAUGGGGGGAACCCUGAUGCAGCAACGCCGCGUGGAGGAUGACACAUUUCGGUGCGUAAACUCCUUUUAUAUAGGAAGAUAAUGACGGUACUAUAUGAAUAAGCACCGGCUAACUCCGUGCCAGCCGCCGCCGUAA
rnacentral:rRNA from 1 species